UACAGAGGGUGCGAGCGUUAAUCGGAGUUACUGGGCGUAAAGGGCGCGUAGGCGGUGAUGCAAGUAAGAUGUGAAAUCCCUGGGCUUAACCUAGGAAUUGCAUUUUAGACUGUGUUGCUAGAGUGCAGUAGAGGGUAGUGGAAUUUCCGGUGUAGCGGUGAAAUGCGUAGAGAUCGGAAGGAACACCAGUGGCGAAGGCGACUACCUGGACUGACACUGACGCUGAGGCGCGAAAGCGUGGGGAUCAAACAGG
rnacentral:rRNA from 1 species